CAACUUUUAACAACGGAUCUCUUGGUUCUCGCAUCGAUGAAGAACGUAGCAAAGUGCGAUAACUAGUGUGAAUUGCAUAUUCAGUGAAUCAUCGAGUCUUUGAACGCAACUUGCACUCUAUGGUUUUCCGUAGAGUACGCUUGCUUCAGUAUCAUAA
rnacentral:rRNA from 1 species